rnacentral:rRNA from 1 species
UACGUAGGGUGCAAGCGUUGUCCGGAAUUACUGGGCGUAAAGGGCGCGCAGGCGGUCCUUCAAGUCAGGCGUGAAAGCCCCGGGCUCAACCUGGGAAUGGCAUUUGGGACUGCAAGGCUCGAGUGCGGCAGAGGAGACUGGAAUUCCUGGUGUAGCAGUGAAAUGCGUAGAUAUCAGGAGGAAUACCGAUGGCGAAGGCAGGUCUCUGGGCUGACACUGACGCUCAUGCACGAAAGCGUGGGGAGCAAACAGG